CAGCAGCCACGGGAAUACGAAGGGGGCUAGCGUUGUUCGGAAUUACUGGGCGUAAAGCGCACGUAGGCGGAUAUUUAAGUCAGGGGUGAAAUCCCAGAGCUCAACUCUGGAACUGCCUUUGAUACUGGGUAUCUUGAGUAUGGAAGAGGUGAGUGGAAUUCCGAGUGUAGAGGUGAAAUUCGUAGAUAUUCGGAGGAACACCAGUGGCGAAGGCGGCUCACUGGUCCAUUACUGACGCUGAGGUGCGAAAGCGUGGGGAGCAAACAGGAUUAGAUACCGUGUAGUCCCUGUCUCUUAUACA
rnacentral:rRNA from 1 species